rnacentral:rRNA from 1 species
GAUAAACGCUGGCGGCGUGCUUAACACAUGCAAGUCGAACGAAGUUUUUCCUUCGGGAGCAACUUAGUGGCGGACGGGUGAGUAACGCGUGGGUAACCUGCCCUGUACAGGGGGACAACAGCUGGAAACGGCUGCUAAUACCGCAUAAGCCCUUAGGACUGCAUGGUGCAUAGGGAAAAGGAGCAAUCCGGUACAGGAUGGACCCGCGUCUGAUUAGCCAGUUGGCAGGGUAACGGCCUACCAAAGCGACGAUCAGUAGCCGAUCUGAGAGGAUGUACGGCCACAUUGGGACUGAGACACGGCCCAGACUCCUACGGGAGGCAGCAGUGGGGAAUAUUGCACAAUGGAGGAAACUCUGAUGCAGCGACGCCGCGUGAGUGAAGAAGUAUUUCGGUAUGUAAAGCUCUAUCAGCAGGGAAGAAAAUGACGGUACCUGACUAAGAAGCACCGGCUAAAUACGUG